UACGGAGGGGGCUAGCGUUGUUCGGAAUUACUGAGCGUAAAGCGCGCGUAGGCGGACCUGCAAGUCGGGGGUGAAAGCCCGAGGCUCAACCUCGGAACUGCCUUCGAUACUGCGGGUCUCGAGUCCGGGAGAGGUGAGUGGAAUUCCUAGUGUAGAGGUGAAAUUCGUAGAUAUUAGGAAGAACACCAGUGGCGAAGGCGGCUCACUGGCCCGGUACUGACGCUGAGGAGCGAAAGCGUGGGGAGCAAACAGG
rnacentral:rRNA from 1 species